rnacentral:rRNA from 1 species
AUGGGGAGAUCGCCGUGCUGCGAGAAGGCGCACACCAACAAGGGCGCCUGGACCAAGGAGGAGGAUCAGCGGCUCAUCGCCCACAUCAAGGCCCAUGGAGAAGGGUGCUGGAGAUCGCUCCCCAAAGCAGCAGGUACAACAUACUCCUAUCUUUAUUUGGUAUGCGGACUCAACAUUGGCAUGCAUGCCGGCCGUGUGGGAGGUGAUGUUGAUUCGUGUGCAUGUACUCGUGUAGGGUUGCUGCGUUGCGGAAAGAGCUGCCGGCUGCGGUGGAUCAACUACCUGAGGCCGGACCUUAAGCGCGGCAAUUUCACCGACGAGGAGGACGAGCUCAUCAUCAAGCUUCACGAGUUCCUCGGAAACAAGUGGUCGCUGAUCGCCGGGAGGCUGCCGGGGAGGACGGACAACGAGAUCAAGAACUACUGGAACACGCACGUCAAGCGCAAGCUCCUCGCCCGCGGCGUCGACCCGCAGACCCACCGCCCGCUCAAUGCUGGCACCGCCGCCGUGCAGGGGAUGCACACGCCUUCGUCCCCCGUCGUGGCGAGCGGCGCCAGCCCUCACCAACUCGCGGGCGGCUCCAGCUGCUCGCCCGAUGCCAGCGGCCACAGCAGCGACGCCGACGACAGCGUGUCUUUGCCGCCGUCACUGGCGGGGAACCUCGGCGUGGGCAUGAUCGACCUGAACCUGUCCAUAAGCCCGCCCUGCCAGCCGCCCCUAAGCCGAGAAGCGGAUGGUGUGCUUAGGACGGGAUACUCGGAGAGGGAGAAGAUAUGCUUGUGCUUGAACCGGCUGGGGUUGCACGGCGGCGAGGGGUGCAGCUGUGUCGGUUCCUCGUCUUCUUCUUCCUUGCACCCGGCGAGCUCCGGAGUGUUAAGAUUCCUUGAUGCCUCGCUCUUCAGAGAUCCUAAAGUACAAUAG